AACGCAUAUUGCGCCCCUGGGUAUUCCCGAGGGCACGCCUGUUUGAGAACCAUGACGUAUCUCAUCACCCAACCACGUUUAUUCUUUUGCAAGAAAGAAAAGCUGGUUGCGAGAUGGACCUGGGCCUUCACGUCCGCGAGCGCCUUUCUUAAAAAGAGUCUCGUUCGGCCGCGUGGCCUCAAAUGCGACAUGUCGAGGAUGACCGUUCGAAAAGCUCCUUGAAGGUUAAAAACGUGAUAAAUCCCUCAGUGGAAAGAAGCGUUGAAACCGUGGGCUUCUUCUAUCGGAAGUCUCCGACCGCUGAAAAGCAAACGUAAAAGUUUAAACGUGCCAGGCGAUCACUCCGAAACUAAUCGGAGAGGUUGAACACCUGAACAACUUGGUCUCAAAUCAGACGAGAGGACCCGCUGAACUUAA
rnacentral:misc_RNA from 1 species